GAGCUUAUAGUUCAAGGGUAGAACGUUCCACUCAUAAUGGAAAAGUUGUAGGUUCAAAUCCUACUGAGCUUA
rnacentral:tRNA from 1 species